UUGUAAAGCACUUUAAGCGAGGAGGAGGCUACCUAGAUUAAUACUUUAGGAUAGUGGACGUUACUCGCAGAAUAAGCACCGGCUAACUCUGUGCCAGCAGCCGCGGUAAUACAGAGGGUGCGAGCGUUAAUCGGAUUUACUGGGCGUAAAGCGUGCGUAGGCGGCCAAUUAAGUCAAAUGUGAAAUCCCCGAGCUUAACUUGGGAAUUGCAUUCGAUACUGGUUGGCUAGAGUAUGGGAGAGGAUGGUAGAAUUCCAGGUGUAGCGGUGAAAUGCGUAGAGAUCUGGAGGAAUACCGAUGGCGAAGGCAGCCAUCUGGCCUAAUACUGACGCUGAGGUACGAAAGCAUGGGGAGCAAACAGGAUUAGAUACCCUGGUAGUCCAUGCCGUAAACGAUGUCUACUAGCCGUUGGGGCCCUUGAGGCUUUAGUGGCGCAGCUAACGCGAUAAGUAGACCGCCUGGGGAGUACGGUCGCAAGACUAAAACUCAAAUGAAUUGACGGGGGCCCGCACAAGCGGUGGGAGCAUGUGGUUUAAUUCGAUGCAACGCGAAGAACCUUACCUGGNCUUGACAUACAGAGAACUUUCCAGAGAUGGAUUGGUGNCUUCGGGAACUCUGAUACAGGUGCUGCAUGGCUGUCGNCAGCUCGUGNCGUGAGAUGUUGGGUUAAGUCCCNCAACNAGCGCAACCCUUUUUCCUUAUUUGCCA
rnacentral:rRNA from 1 species